rnacentral:rRNA from 1 species
GAUGAACGCUGGCGGCGUGCCUAAUACAUGCAAGUCGAGCGAAGCGGGGACGGGUGCGUAACACGUGGAUAACCUCCUAUAACUCUGGAAUAACUUCGGGAAACCCGAGCUAAACCGGCUACUUAUCGAUUGCUCCGCGCUGCAUUAGCUAGUUGGUAAGGUAACGGCUUACCAAGGCAACGAUGCAUAGCCGACCGGAGAGGGUGAUCGGCCACACUGGAACUGAGACACGGUCCAGACUCCUACGGGAGGCAGCAGUAGGGAAUCUUCCGCAAUGGGCGAAAGCCUGACGGAGCAACGCCGCGUGAGUGAUGAAGGUCUUCGGAUCGUAAAACUCUGUUAUUAGGGAAGCGGUACCUAAUCAGAAAGCCACGGCUAACUACGUGCCAGCAGCCGCGGUAAUAC